AAAGGGAAAAAGGAGGUGGAAUAUGCUAAUAUCGACAAGGACCACUUCUAAAUAAUAGAAUUACUUUUUUACACUAAACAAUUGGGGUAUAUUACUGUAGGUGUGUUCAGUGUUGAAGACCUCACAAAAAAUGAAUUUAUUGAGGUGGACACUGAUUUAUCUUUACUAAAUCUAAUCAAAGGCCUAAAUGAUGGUGACUUUUUAGACCUUUAUGUGAAGCAUGUGGUGGAUGAUGCAGAAGUGGUCACAACUGAUUUGCUUUGUGGGUCUGCAGUUGAAAAAGACUUAGAAGAUAUAAAUGUGAUUAUUGAAUCAUGAGGUUGAAUCUGAAAAUGUUAAUGUUAAAGUUGAGUCAAGGGAUAUAUCAAAUCUAGAAGAGGAAUGGACCAAAUCAAAUCAAGAAAGCAGUGAUAACUCUCAAGAGGAUAUUAUUCCUGAUGUGGAUGACUCUGAGGUUGAUAAAGAAUUGAUAUCUCUUAGAAAUGAAAGGAGAAACAAAGUGAAAAAAAACCUACUCAAAUUGAGGAAAUAAAGCUUGGAACGACUGGUAUUGAUAGAGGUUUUGAAGACAUUGGAAGGAAUAAGACUGUUAGAUACACUGGAAGACUAGGGGGUGAAGAGCAAUAUAUAGAUAGCUCUGAAUUGGACAGUGAAGACAGUAGGGAUGAAUUGGAUCCAGAUUUGUGAAGGGUGUUGAUUUACCAAGAAGAAGAAAAAGUAAAAAGAGGGGUUGGUUGGAAGGAUGCAGACAAAUUAUUGAUUUUGAUGGAUGCUUUCUAAAGGGUUCUUGCAAGGGAGAAUUGUUUGGUUGUUGUUGAUAGAAAUGGAAAUCAACAGAUGUUUCCAAUCGCAUGAGCUGUUGUUGACACAGAGACAAAACACAGUUGGAGUUUUUUUCUCAAUUACUUGAUAGAAGAUCUGAACUUAGACACAAGACAUGGACUGACUGUUAUGUCAGAUAUGUAGAAGGUUUUGUAUUAUAUCUUGAUCUUUUAUUUUUAUUUUCUUGUGUUGCUGGUCUUUUUAAUGUUUGUGCUACAAUUGUUUACAUAAGGCCUUAUACCAGUUUUAUGUGAGUUGCUACCAUAUAGUGAGCAGAGAAGGUGUGCUAGACAUAUCUGGUUCAACUGGCAUCAAUUAUGGAGUGGUGAAGAAAAAAGGAAACAGUUCUGAAGAUGUGCUAAGUUAAGUUUUGAAGUAAAAUUUUAAGUUAAAACUUUAAUAUAUUUACUUCAAAAAGGGACAGAAGUUGAAUGAGGUAAUAAUAUAUUUUUUUUAUUUGAA